GAUGAACGCUGGCGGCGUGCCUAAUACAUGCAAGUCGAGCGAACAGACGAGGAGCUUGCUCCUCUGAUGUUAGCGGCGGACGGGUGAGUAACACGUGGAUAACCUACCUAUAAGACUUGGAUAACUUCGGGAAACCGGAGCUAAUACCGGAUAACAUGUUGAACCGCAUGGUUCAACAGUGAAAGACGGUCUUGCUGUCACUUAUAGAUGGAUCCGCGCCGCAUUAGCUAGUUGGUAAGGUAACGGCUUACCAAGGCAACGAUGCGUAGCCGACCUGAAAGGGUGAUCGGCCACACUGGAACUGAGACACGGUCCAGACUCCUACGGGAGGCAGCAGUAGGGAAUCUUCCGCAAUGGGCGAAAGCCUGACGGAGCAACGCCGCGUGAGUGAAGAAGGUCUUCGGAUCGUAAAACUCUGUUAUUAGGGAAGAACAAAUGUGUAAGUAACUAUGCACGUCUUGACGGUACCUAAUCAGAAAGCCACGGCUAACUACGUG
rnacentral:rRNA from 1 species